AACGUAGGAGGCAAGCGUUAUCCGGAGUUACUGGGCGUAAAGCGCGUGUAGGUGGAUUGGUAAGUUACUUAUGAAAGCUCCUGGCUAAACUAGGAGAGGUUGGGUGAUACUGCCAGUCUUGAAUCGAGGAGAGGUUGACGGAAUUCCGCGUGUAGUGGUGAAAUGUGUAGAUAUUCGGAAGAACACCAGCGGCGAAGGCAGCAACUUGGUCUGGUAUUGACGCUCAGGCACGAAAGCAUGGGGAUCAAACAGG
rnacentral:rRNA from 1 species